CGAGUCACGUGGCCUUUGCGCCUGCCAGGGGCUGUAAAGUAUUCUCCCAGACGCUAGAGGCCGCUGGUGGGGGAAAAGAUACAGUAUAUCAGUGGGCUCCGUCCGGCCUGGUAACUCAGAGUUCAUAGAGAGAAAACGUGUAGAGCAAUAUACCCUGAGUUUCCCGUUCUCCUUUUAAUGUGUUCUGUUUCAACAGUGGUCUGCGAGAAUUUCAGCUGAUUCAGAACACGGGCUUCCUCUGGCUCUCGUGUCAUUUGAUCACUGAUCUGUAUAUAGGCGGAUUUCUGAGGAAACGCCCAAGAAAGCAGGGGGCUUGCAAUGUUUAGUUGGCUGACCAAAAAAGGCUGUCCUCCAAUUAAUCAGUCCUCAGAUGUAAAAUAAUAAAAAUCGUAAUGAAAACUAAAUUGUUGUAAAUAUGCAAACGGAAAGUAUCGUUUUAAAAUGAUAAUAAGGGGGGGGAUGACUCUUCUAAUCCGAUUAUAGGAAGGUGCCCUAUUGCAGCUCAGAAUAUUUGUCCAUUUACUUCAGCGUUGUCUACUCUGACAGCAGCUCUCAAGGUCCUGGACAGAGAUAUUUCACAUUGCCUGAUAGAUUUCUGCUUGACAUCCUGAAAAGAUGCUGCCCCACCAGCUCUGACUCAUUGUCAUUGUACACUGAUUAAAACCAAGUGUCAUCUGUCCGGUGCAUACUGUGAAAAGAUCGUUUGAGUUGUGCAUACUUUGUGAGCUUCUCUGAGAGCAAGAGUGAACAAGAGAGAAUCAUCACUCUUCUGUCACCACUGCCUCCUGUUCCAUGAACCCAAGACUCCUCUUUCCCCCCACCUUCCAAAUGGAUUUCUGGAAACAUUGGAUAUCCAUUUUGUCUGCAGGCUGUGCAUCUCAUCAGUUAAUUUGCACAAAAUAUGCACUCUACAGGUAAAAGUGGCUAGGAACAUAGGAAGACCUUUGAUGCAUCAGGCCAAAAGCCUAUCAAGUCCAGCACCUUGUUCUCACAGAUACAUACAGGAAGCCCACUAGCAAGACCGGCAUGCAACAGCUCUUCUCACUUUGUGAGUUACUUAUUCUCUGAAGCUAGCAAACAAUGAAGCCCUACAGCCAACUGGCAUAUUCAAAGGAUGCUUUGCUUGUUUGCUUCAUUGCACCCUCCCCUCUGCUCUGCCCCAUCUAUCGUCAGCUGUUUUUCUUCCUUUCUCCAGUCUGACUUUCUUUUCUGCCACUUCCUAUGCUUGGAACAAUCUCCCUUUGUCUGCUCCUUAACUCUGUACAUUUCCCCUCAAAUCCCAAUUUCCGAAAGACUUGUUCUCAACCUCCAUAGGAAAGCCACUUCUUACAUGCUUUCAGAGCAAAAGUAAGGACAUUGGUACUGGGUGCUGACUGCAGCACCUUUGCUCAGGACCUCAGCUAGGGGCGAGGAUAAUGUUAAGCAGCUUUUUAGUAAAACCUGCAAGGAUGAGCUUGAAAGCACGGAGGCAAUAACUGGUGAAGUCUCAAAAAACCUGGGGAAGGGAGGGCAGGAUUCCUAGGAUGGAUGACACUGCCUGAUACAGCUUCUUUGCCUGCCCCACAUCUAGCAGAAGGAAAAGAAAGCAUGCAAAAAGGUCGAGGCAAUUUUGCAGGGUAUGGACAGGUUACAGAAACCAGCUUUCUCUCGACGCAGUUUCAACUUCACCGUGUUACUUGAUGCAGUUCUCACUUGUGGCACUUCCAGGCUGUUGGUAUUUGCAGGUGAGAUUCAACCACAUACUGGCAAAUUCAGGUUGCACAGCUAGAGUUGAUGUGGAGGUCUUGCACAACUAUUUCCCCCAAAGGCUGGACUUUUUGCGAUACGGAAAGUAACAGGGGAAUAGACUAGAAAAUGUGAGACAACACCUGCUUUGAUGCCGUGUCUUCUGACCUCCUUACAAACAAAUCAGGAGGAAUGCUCAAUAAGCCGGUUGCCUGGGAGUGCUUUUGGUCAUUCCCAAGCUUUUACUUUUCCCAGUGUGUGCAGUGGAGUCCCUGUCUCCAGCAUCUUAGCGCCACCCAGUCAGAAUGAAAUGGGGGCUUUUAAGCAUUUAGGAAUGCUGAAAACACAAGGUAUUUUGUUUUUAAGAGAAUGGCGUGCAAGUUUGGUUAUGUACAAUGGAACUUCAUGGUAAACAUGACUCUAAAUCAUUUGCCCAUAUAUGUGCAUAGAAACCCCCCCCCAGAAGACCUAGUUGUAUAGAUUGUUGCAAUACGUCCCUAAUUAUUACUAUUCUGUAAUUAUAAAAUUGUGUAAUCUUAGGUUGUAUAAUCUGAGAAGGGGCGUGGCUGUGACUAUCAUGAAGGGACCCUACCUUUCUGAAUUUGCUGCUCAUGAGUAGGCGGCUUGGUCCGCAGGGCCUGAAUAGCUGCUCUCCCCUCUGAAUGAACCAAGCCAAGGCAGCACCAGGCAGCUGUUCAUGCCGUACCAUUUGUAGCUGGGAUCUUUCCUCGCUGCUCUCUUUGCCAUCUACACUGAGACAUGAAAGCUGUGUGGCAUUUGAGCAGUUAGGGGAGGUGGGGUACACAGUUUCGCAUUCUGCAUUUAAAUCAUGCUUCAUACUGGAUAGUUUUGGGUAAGUCACUCCAUUUCCCUGCUUAACCUACAACACAUGAAGGAGAUACAGUUGAUUAAAAAUAAUAAUUCUGAAGCAAGUUGUACAUGGAAAAGUGUAGUGGAAAUUACUCUCCCAGAUGCAUAUGGUUUUUAAUACUCUUAUCUCCUUGGUUGAACCACCUCCUUCCUCCAGACCUUUUAGAGCAGUUCAAAUUGGCAGUACUUUCUUGAAAUCUGGACAUAAGAGAUUUUCAAGCACUUGUUACCCCUCUGUAGGGAUUUUGGAAUUCUUUUGCAAGGGAGGUCACCCUCUUUCUCUUAGGGCUGACAGUGAGCCAAAGACAAUAGCAAUUCUGGCAGGUCAGGACUUGUGGUUAGAGGGUAACCAUUGUGGUUUGGAGAUAGGCCCAGUGGUACGUGAUGGGACAAGGCAUGGAAUGACAUCAUCCAAGAGAGGGGAAGUCUAUGGAGGGGAGCAGGAAGGUGCUGGUUCAUAUACUCAAUUUCCUGAAUUUAUUUUAUAAAGUUACAACCAUUCAUCAACUGUGUAUUACAAAAAUAAUAUUUAUGGUGAAAUCCA